UGCCUAAAACAUAGCAUUAAUGCACCAAAUCCCAUUAAAACUUUGUAGGUAAGCAUGUUUAGGCUAGAUUAGUACUGAAAUGGGUGACCACCUAGGAAGUCCUAAUAUUUUACACAC
rnacentral:rRNA from 1 species